ACUUUCAAUUCAAGGCGCAGGUUUAAUUUUAAUCAAUCGUUCUGUUAAAAAGAGAAAUUUAUCCCCCUGCUGAGAAAUUUAAAUGUUUCAGCUCGUAGAUACGGCUCGUCUGACGCGCAUGCAAAUUUUAAUCUGCAAAAAGGGUUUGCAACGGAUUCAUUGCAUUUGUGUUAGUUAGACGAGGUAGUUCUCUUCUGUGAAAGAUGGAUUUUCAGUUAAUAAUCAUUUGCGUGUCACAGUGAAACUGUUUGCUAAACAGGAAUACACGGCAUGGUGAUCGGCAAGGAGAAUUUCAACUUUUAUCUAUUGAUCCUAAUCAACGCCUUCGAACAUAAUUUAACGCCCCACGCAGGUGCACUUGGACAAUGCAUCUAAAAAAAACACUGCAAAUGUUUAUUAAUUAUCGCCUUUGUUGAUGUACUGCGAAGUGCUAUUAACUGAGAGUAAAAAAACGUGUUAACUGUAGAAGUGCUGACACUUUUAUAUUAUCCAUUAUGAUACUCGGCCACUUCUCACUGUGCGAAGAAAAGAAAAAAAUUUUCAGUGGUAAUAAUUGGCUUAAGAGAAAAACGAUUUAGGACUCAAUAGAAGCGAGUUAACGGCUGAGUGCAAAGCUGAUUUUAAAAUAUUAACAAUAUAGGGCACAGAUAGGAAUUAUCCAUUGAAGUUCAAAGAAAUGACAGAUGAAUAGCCUACUAACUCACGGCCAUUACAUUAACAGUUAUCUAAUUGCAAAACAUCGUGGACAUCUGCAUUCUAUAAUGUAUCGAGAAAAGAUGGUGACGCCUUCAUAAAAGGUUUAUGUGCUUCACAUAAAUGCAGUUUUUUCAGUGAAGUGCUUGGAAUCAGUAUGCAAACGUAAGUGAUAACAGCUCUGUGCUAAUACUGAUCAAUCAUGGAACGAGGCUAUCGCAGACCGUAGACGUUGUUAAAACUUGCCUUUAGGCCUGUCGACUUUUAGAGCGGGGGGUAGUUGGUGUAUGACUCAUUGGGAGCCAAAAUGCGAGUCCUUAUCUUUCUCUAACCCUGUCAUUAAGCCUUAAUGAACACGGCAUACAAUGUCGUCAUUGGUACUCUAUGUGAUUCAGAUCACAUUUCAACCUGUAGGUAAAAUUACAAGUUACGAAUUGAUAUUAGCUGAAAUUUCCUCUAUCGCCAACCUUCCCCCCCCCUCUCUUUUGACCUUGUAGCUCGAUGGGUAGCGGCGUUCAACUUGUAGCUUGGGGCACAAUUUAGUCCUCAUCAGAGCCUGAAUUAUUGAACAGGUGUAAUGGAUCCAGAUGGGAACAUUAUCAGACAGGAUGCUUUGCUUUUUAUUUCUCUUUUAUUAGUUUGCGUUAAAAUCAUCCCUCCGGUCGUGUUCAAAGAUCAAUCCACAGCCUUUUCACGAAAAAAAUAUUUUCAUAGAGUGAAAUUUGGAAAAUCAUAACCUCUAGAACGACUAUCGGCCUCUCAGCCUAUAGCAAUCUAGAAAGAUGUCACAACUUCUUUUUUCAUGAUUACCCGCGGUGUUAUUUGCAUACUGAUUGUGAGUCCUAAGGGAUGUUUGCGAAAAUUUUUUGCAUUGCAAAUAUAUUUUCACCAAUUAGUAUUCAUGUCAGUUGCGUUAGAAGCUUCACAGGCGGAGUUCAGAGCUAAUCCAGGCUAUUUGGUAUGAAGCUUUUUGUUUUUGGCCGUGCGAAUUGCUGCUCAGCAUGUUCCAGCGAGUUCUAAUGUCUGAGCAUCGAAGCUGAAAUGAUAAGUAGCCUCGCAGAUCAGUUUUUGGUGCGUAAGGAUCUUCCCACGUGGCCCUCACCGUCGACAACAACGAGCUUCUUUGUCAAUUUGUGAGAUGACCGAAGUCGGAGUUCAUGUGAUAAUGAAACAGAAAGCUAGGGAUAGUAAUGGAUCGAUCGCUAUCAAGAACAACAUUCUAUAAACAGUUGCCAUUACCACAGGUUUGAAAGACGAUGGCACAAGACAAGAGGAAUUUAUGGGCUUGAAUAAAGUUUUUCUCCCUUUGACACACGCGUAGUUAAAGGAAUGUAUGCACACCGAAGCGCUUUUCAAAGGGCCAACGUUAUUCCGUAUUUUUACGCGAAAAUAUCAUUGGCAACAGAAUGACCUAAAAUCUAUUUUUCCGAAAAAAAACUGAGUCUUUUGGCGGGAAAUUAUAACCAGGACUAUUAAUAACCUUAAAUACAUUUGUGAAAAUCAACACU